UUUUCUUUAAAAUUUGAUUUUUAAAAAUUAAGACCUUUUAUGAUUAAAUGUAAUUGAAAGAUAAAUACACCAAGGGGUGCAAAAUUGGCAAUUUAAAAAUUUUCCAUUCCUAGUAUUUGAUGCAACAUAUAAACUUUUAUCCUAUUGCAAAACACAUGUUUUGAUUACAAUAAAUUGUAACUCAAUUACUAACAAUCCUAAUUGGCAUUAUGAAACUUAAUCCUUAAAAUAAUAAGAUUAAAGUCAAGGAAUUUAUCCCAAAGACACAGAAUCAAAUUCAAACAUCUAAUUCAGGUAGAGUAGAUCACCAAGUGUUGAUCCUCUAAUUUGUGCACACAAACAAGAUGACCAAAGCUUCCUUUCUCAACUCAAAACCCCUUUUGUGCUUCCUCUUGAAGUAGCUAAAGCUUGCACAAAAAAUGGAGUUUAGGGUUUUCUAGGUUUUAACUUUAUAGAGAUACAAUUUCUCUACCUUUAUUUCAAGAGUUACAACUUUAAGAUUCUCUUGAAUUAAACACACAAGGAAGAAGAUGAAAGUUUUGGCUUGAGAGUAGGGGUGAGUAGAUUUCAGUUUAAACUGAAAAAUCGAAUUGAACUGAAUCAAUUCGAUUUAAUCGGUUCGAUUUUAAAUUUUAAUUGGUUCUGUUCGAUUUAUAUUAUAAAAAUUUUGGUUA
rnacentral:misc_RNA from 1 species